rnacentral:rRNA from 1 species
AGUGAACGCUGGCGGUAGGCCUAACACAUGCAAGUCGAACGGCAGCACAGGAGAGCUUGCUCUCUGGGUGGCGAGUGGCGGACGGGUGAGGAAUACAUCGGAAUCUACUCUGUCGUGGGGGAUAACGUAGGGAAACUUACGCUAAUACCGCAUACGACCUACGGGUGAAAGCAGGGGACCUUCGGGCCUUGCGCGAUUGAAUGAGCCGAUGUCGGAUUAGCUCGUUGUCGGGGUAAAGGCCCACCAAGGCGACGAUCCGUAGCUGGUCUGAGAGGAUGCUCAGGCACACUGGAACUGAGACACGGUCCAGACUCCUACGGGAGGCAGCAGUGGGGAAUAUUGGACAAUGGGCGCAAGCCUGAUCCAGCCAUACCGCGUGGGUGAAGAAGGCCUUCGGGUUGUAAAGCCCUUUUGUUGGGAAAGAAAUCCAGCUGGCUAAUACCCGGUUGGGAUGACGGUACCCAAAGAAUAAGCACCGGCUAACUUCGUGCCAGCCGCCGCAGUAA